rnacentral:misc_RNA from 1 species
AAGUCGUAACAAGGUUUCCGUAGGUGAACCUGCGGAAGGAUCAUUAAUGAUUUUUAAAGCGAGUCGAGCGUUUAAGCGAGGCUUGCGAAAAAUAUUUAAAACCCCACUCUUUUUUAACUUUAAAAUAUAAAUCAUGAUACAUGAAUUUAAAAAAAAAGAUUACUUUCAACAACGGAUCUCUUGGCUCUC